rnacentral:lncRNA from 1 species
CUCUGCACUUCUUUCCUCUAAGUAGGAAUGUUUAUACCUCCAGAUACAAAAUCCGACUAGGGAGAGAAUGGAGUUGGAAAGAAAUGGAAGUGCAGAGUGAUGGAAAAAACGAGAAGGAUUUGGAGAGCACACUUUUUUUCUGCCGUGACAGGCCACAGCUGGGGGAUCCGAAUGGAACUAUAGAAGAUGACAAUCCUCUUGACCUCUGAAUGGCCAGAUCACACCACAACAGCACAUGCCAGCUUUGGGAAGCAUCUGAGACCAGCCUUCUCGGAGUGCCAAAUCUGGUUACUGAUUCCUCAUUCAUCUACAACACCAUCACAGUUUGGAAGGCACGCCUUCUAUCAGGAGAAACACACUGGACAAAUAAUCCUAAGAGGAGAUUCAGGAAAAGGAUCCCCACUCACUGCCUAUGGAGGAGAGUUCAGAGACCUGACUUUGAUGUACCAAUCCACUCUCAGAGGCUCUCUUUCGGUCUUGCUUGCGUCCUGCUGAGGAGUGAAGCACAAGACUCCCGAAGCAACCUGUAUGCCCCAGAUCAUCAGGUGCUGCCACCAAUACUUGAAGAAAAGUAAUUCAUAAGAGAGGCAAACCAACACAAACCAAUGAACAUUAUGGUAAAUGUGCUGUCAUGUUUAGCUUCUCUGUGGCCCUGGAGCAACUCCGUGUCUUGGUCAUUACUUAACUGUGGUGCCAGGAGGUUGUCAUCAAGGUCACCCAGUUACAUGUCCCAAAUUCUGAACUUCCACUUUUUGCUGAGUACAACAAAACCACCUUCUGUAACAUGAAUAAUAAAAACCCAGUGACAAAUAUUGGCGUUCAAGCUGAAGAUCAGAAAAGCAAAGCAGCCAAGCUGCCAGCUCUUACCUCUACUUCAGACUGAAAUGGUGAUCCUGGCCCCAGGAAUCCUGGGUGCAAUGCAGACUGCACUGCUCCCAAGUCUCAGACUGCAAUCCCUGGGCUCCUGUCUCCUCCCACCUUGUAUUCCUUUCUCUCCAGCCAUAUCCUCCUAUCUCCACCUCCCUAGCGCUGG